GACGAACGCUGGCGGCGUGCCUAAUACAUGCAAGUCGAGCGGAAGUUGGAGAGCUUGCUCUUCAACUUUAGCGGCGGACGGGUGAGUAACACGUGGGCAACCUGCCCUGCAGAUCGGGAUAACUCCGGGAAACCGGUGCUAAUACCGAAUAGUUUUCGCCACCUCCUGGUGGCGUACGGAAAGACGGUUUCGGCUGUCACUGCAGGAUGGGCCCGCGGCGCAUUAGCUAGUUGGUGGGGUAACGGCCCACCAAGGCGACGAUGCGUAGCCGACCUGAGAGGGGGAGCGGCCACACUGGGACUGAGACACGGCCCAGACUCCUACGGGAGGCAGCAGUAGGGAAUCUUCCGCAAUGGCCGAAAGUCUGACGGAGCAACGCCGCGUGAGUGACGAAGGUUUUCGGGUCGUAAAACUCUGUUGUAAGGGAAGAACACGUACGAGAGGGAAUGCUCGUACCUUGACGGUACCUUACGAGAAAGCCACGGCUAACUACGUGCCAGCAGCCGCCGUAAUAC
rnacentral:rRNA from 1 species